AAUACUGUAUUUUCUUUUAUUACUGAGGUUUCUUUGCAUCCCUUUAAAAUUUGCCCAUCAAAUUAAUGCCUCACUUACUUCACCCUAGUCCCGGCCCUGCUUCAGGCCUAGCUGAAUCCAGAAGUUCAAAUGAUCACAUCAUGACUCAGUUCCUUUGGCUCUGCUUGUAUUUGGUUUGGCUCUAUGUUAGGCAGGUGCUUUCUACAUGUGGCUUUUAAUACUCACAGUCUUAGAUGCAGAGAGGCUGUUUCUCUUCUAAGCGCACCGCUUACUGAUCUUUGAAAAAAUAUUCUGCUUGAAUCCGUCUGAAACAUAUGAUACUCUGGAAGAAUUUUUGAAUGAUAGGGUACCCUCCAAUCCAGGAAGAUGUGGAGUUUCUGGAUUAAUCCUCGUUCCUUUCUUUUUGGAAACUCAAUAUUUUUUUAAAAAAAUCAUGUUUAUAGUUUUUAAAAUUCUCAUUAGAAGGUAGAAAUAGUUUUUUUUUUAUUAUUUAAUUGAUCAUUCUUGGGUGUUUCUCGCAGAGGGGGAUUUGGCAGGGUCAUAGGACAACAGUGGAGGGAAAGUCAGCAGAUAAACAAGUGAACAAAGGUCUCUGGUUUUCCUAGGCAGAGGACCCUGCGGCCUCCCGCAGUGUUUGUGUCCCUGUGUACUUGAGAUUAGGGAGUGGGGAUGACUCUUAACGAGUAUGCUGCCUUCAAGCAUCUGUUUAACAAAGCACAUCUUGCACCGCCCUUAAUCCAUUUAACCCUGAGUGGACACAGCACAUGUUUCAGAGAGCACCGGGUUGGGGGUAAGGUCAUAGAUCAACAGCAUCCCAAGGCAGAAGAAUUUUUCUUAGUACAGAACAAAAUGGAGUCUCCUAUGUCUACUUCUUUCUACACAGACACAACAACAAUCUGAUUUCUCUAUCUUUUCCCCACAUUUCCCCCUUUUCUAUUUGACAAAACCGCCAUCGUCAUCAUGGCCCAUUCUCAAUGAGCUGUUGGGUACACCUCCCAGAUGGGGUGGCGGCUGGGCAGAGGAGCUCCUCACUUCCCAGAAGGGGCGGCCGGGCAGAGGCGCCCCCCACCUCCCAGACGGGGCGGCUGGCCGGGCAGGGGAGGAAGUCUGAUUUUUAACACAAAUGACUAGUUCAGGAUCCUGGUGAAUUGAAAAUACCCACCUUUUAAAGUGUAAAAUCAGUGGAGGAGCUCAUGCAGAUGAUCAGCAUGAGUGAUGAUACCACAGAGGGGCCAAGAGGCAGUCCUCAGGGGGCAUAUGAGCUGUCACAGUGGAGACUGUGAAACAAGAUACUUCAAGCAGAUGUGUCCAUCUUUGAGUUUUAUAGCACAGGGAAUGAGAUGUCACAGCAUACUUUUCAAAAGAAUUCUAUGAAAACUAUAACUGAAGCAAAUGUGACUAGUAAGCAAUGAGAAGUGUGCCCCUUUAGGGCAAUGUAUGAAAAUGCAGUUAGAGGCAAACUAUGAAGUUCGAGCCACGGUUGGUAUUUCUUGGUUCACUUUGGAAGGCUGCUAUCUGUUUUGAGAAGAAAACCAAAAAGAUGAAUGCUGGAAAGUGUAUGCAUGAUUGAAUUACAGAUAACGUCUACCUUUUUUCACCUAACCUCCAGUACAGCCAAAGACAUUGGCGCUCCCCAUUCCUUGUCACUCACUAAAGGGUGGAGAGCUUCCCUGCUGGGUCCAGGGCUAAAGAUGGAAUUCCCUCACAAUCUCCCAGCUCCUCCCCCUCAGUCCCUGGCCCCCCACAUGGAAGGUGGUCUCCCUCCUUCCAGACCCCUGAGGCUGCCUGUGGCUGUGGUGUUGGGGUCUGCUUGGGACAAUCAAUCCCAGGCCUUGCUUUCCUUCCUGUGUACUUGCCCAUGCUCCUAUUCCUUCCAACCAGGCCUGCCUCCUCAGGCAGCUGUGUCAAAAGCAAGACAUUUAAGACAAGUGGUGACUGCUCUCUGCUUUCUCUUGAUUAGAGAAGAAUUUAGCAAAAGUUGUAGUAAUUAAAAAAAAAUCUAGCUCAUUUGCUCAAAGGACAACAGUUUAAAAGAAAACAUAUUCAGCAUGACUCUCACUUUGCUUUUAGGUGACAAUAAGUUUUUGGAAACCCCCCUUAUAAUUAGCCAGGGAGUGGCAGCUGACUCUGGUGGUGGCUUGCCCAGCAUCCAUUCUCGUUCCCUUUUGCCAACAGAAUCCUGCAGGGUGACGCUGCCUGACCACAAAUACUCAUCUUCUCUCCCUCUCCUGCUGCUGCAGAGGCCAGAAAGGUUGGGCCAAUGAGGCCUAUCCUGGCCCCACUCAUGGGCACUAUUUCCUUUUCCCUGAGCCCCUCCUCUGAUUCCAGCUGCCCUGUGGUCUCUGGUCACACACAAGCACUGAUUAUGCAGGGACAACCUUGUAGCUUGUGCUUCCAGCCCAGGUCAUGGCUUUCAUUUUCUGCUAUGGGGCUUCUCAGAUCCUGCAACAUGGGAAGCCCACACUAGAGAUGUGGGAUGUUAGCAUUCGUGGAGCACCUGUGACUGAUGGGAUGGCAGCAACAGACAGAUGUGUCCCCUUUUAUCUGCCAGGUCUAAGUUCUGAGAAGCAUUUGGAAGACUCUGCAGUUCUUUUGCAAGACAUCUAUGGUGCUGGCCAACUGGAUAAUGUGUCCUUAGAAUGGUUUUUCCCCCUUUCCAGCUUUCUUCAUUCCUCACACCUGCUCCCUGAGAUCACAUUCCUAUGUAAACUCCCUGCAGCUACGUCUUUAUCUCAAGCUCUGUUUUCUGGGAAACUAUAGUAUUAUAAGAUGUCUGCAAGAGCAGGAAUCCAGGGCAUCUUUUUAAAAGGGAGAGACAGAUAAAAUUGGUAAGCCCCUUCUUUCUCAUUCCCACUGGUAAAGACAAAAGUCAUUUUGUCAUGAUGAGUGUGAAGGCCACAUACUAAGGAUAAUAAAGCACAAACGUUGUCCCUGUUGACAAUGCUGAGCAACUACAGCCACCUAGACAACCUCCUCUGGUCUUGUAUGGUGCAAAUAGUUCAUCUGUUUGGGUCUGAUUAGGAUUUUCUGUUAUUUGCAGCCCAAAUCAUUCCUAACUGAUAGAGUAGAAAACAACAACAAAAAAAGAGUUCUUGGAUUUACAAAUCUUAGGGUAGUGAUUAGAAUCUUGCCUUUUGAAAAAUCUUGCAUCUCUUCCCCUUGCUUGCUAUGAAGGGCCCGAGGGAGCCUUCUCUGCUCUUCCUGACAAUUACAGGAGCUAGGGGUGCAGUCGUUUUCCACCUGCCUUUGGGGAUGCCUGGUGUAGGUCCAGUGCUGCCAAUGUUUUCUUCUUCUUCUUUUACUUUUCCAUAUUAUUAUUUACUUUCUGAAAUAUGAGUUAGAUACACAAAAAGUAAUAUGGAGAAAAUCAUGGCACACGUUUGGAGCUCUUACACUAUUAUCCUUAUGGAUUCUAAAAUGUCUUUUAUUGCUCACAGGGCCUUUUCCUCACUAAAGGUACAUUUGGCUUUCAUUGAUUCAGCCUUGUUUCACAGCAAGAGUGCAGUAGUUUACAAAAACACAUAGCAUGAAGUGAAUUAGUUAACUGCACCUCACUUCAACUAGCUCGACUGAAAGUUAGUCUCAUUCCAUGGAAUCAGCAAGAGGGAAAGGGGAAUUUAUGUGUUGUGCACUUCAGCAUUUGAAUACAUGAUUGUUUUAGGAUUUUUGUCUUUUUGAAGGUGUAGCAAGGCUGCCAGAAAUGCAAUGGCCCCAAGGUACAGCUGUCAAGAAAUAUCUUCCGAAAGGGUAUUGCUUCAUUAAACAUAGAUCUUUCCUUUGUUCAUUAGGAUCUUGCCAGAUGGGAAUUCAGUGUUUUGAAAGCAGGCACCCACAUGGAAUUUUGUUUCUGACAUUGACGAAUGACUGAAUCUCUCCAUGGAGUUUUGUUAUGGGGUGUCAGUGAAUGUUAGCUGAGGGCGUGACUGUAACUUUUCAUGAUACAGAGAUCUGUAGGUGUCAAGCCAGUCUAUGGUUGAGCAAUCAUAGUACAGCAUCCGUAUCUAUAAAUCAAAAGGGUAGAGGCAAACUUUUGAAUUUAAAUUUGCAUAUUGUAAGAUUCUUCCAAGUGGACUGAAUAGCAUUUUUUUUUUUAAACUUCUGUUGAACUUUCAGGUAACGUCAUUUACUGUGCCUGAUGAGAAAUACAGGCAGCACAGAUAAAACACUGGGUUGCUGAUCAGAAGAACCAAUAUCCAAAGCAAUGAAGUUACCCCUGCCUUAGGUUACUGUACCUCCUGAGUCAGCUGACACCUGGUACCUCCGCACCAUUAGCUUGACAAGAAACCCCGCCCUGUAUUCAUAAGGAUCUUUGGAAGGUGAAUAAAUUAUUUCUAUUGUAGCAUUUGCAGACCUCCUCAUAUGGCAGGUGCUUUGCUACGUGUUGCUCUUUUGUUACGUUCUGCCGCAGGUCAGUGAGGUGCCUGUUUAUGGAGUUGGAGAAGCUAAGAAUCAGAGAAGUCAACACUUACCUCAAUCACUUAGCUAGUAAAUGGCACAAUUGAUGUUCAAACCUAAUGUGUCUGACUCAAAAGACAUUUUUUUCAUUCUUCUCUACUGCUUAGUGUAGUGAUUAAAAUCGUGUGUGGUGGAGUCAGUUGGAGUUCAAGUCCCUGCUUCGCUGAUGACUAGCCAUGUCUUUCUGCAACUAACUCAAUCUCUCACCCUCUCUGUUUUUGCCAUUCAAAAUCAGGUGUAUCUUAUCGUGGUUUUGAUUUGCAUUUCCCUGAUGAUCAGUGAUGUUGAGCGUCUUUUCAUAUUCUUCUUGGCCCUAUGUAUGUCUUCUUUGGUGAAAUGUCUAUUCAAGUCCUUCACUUAUUUUUGAAUUGGGUUGUUUGUCUUUUGUUGUUGAGUUGUCAGAGUUUUAAAAAAUACUUUGAUAUUAAUCCCUUAUCAGAUAUAUACUACAUUUAAUAUUUAUCUUUUAAGGAGCAACAGAGGCCUUUUAAAGAGCUGAGGAAAAUGGCAAAAAAUAUUGGCAACUAAUGCUGCGCUCAUGAUAUUCCCCAUAGUGGAAACUCAUGAAGGGUUUUCAUUUGGCAACUGGAGAAGUUGGACAUGCUCUCUUUAUGGCACUUACAAUUUAUUCUUUGGUAGAAGGAAGAAUAUUAACAACUCAGUAAUGUUUUCUCUGUUUCCUUGAAAAAAGACAAUUGCAGCUUUUGAAUUUGUAAGUUGAGUAGGAAAACAGAGGAUAAUACCAAAGCAAAAAGGUGUCUGAAUGGAAAGGUAUUUCAUUUGUCCAUUCAGGAGAUUUGUUUUACUUUACAAAAUGGUGCAAUGGAACAAAUACCUAUGUUACCAUUUUCCUUCCCCUCUUGUCAUUUAUUUUUCCUUUGGACUGUUAUCCUCUCCUCUGAACUGUUCUCUGUGUGAAAAUGUUAUACCUUCUUGAUUUUCAAAUGCUUUCAGAAUAGCAACAGGUAAUGGGAGAUCAAUAUUUAACAAUCUCAAUAUUUAAACUUAAGCAUUUUCCACAAUAUUAUAACCCCAAAAUCUUUUUUUUCCCAUUGAGCCAUUAAAAAAAGAAAAUAAAUUAAAAGCACAGAGAGCCUCCCAGAAUGACUGAAGUGUCUGUUUGCUCUAGAUGUGCUUAUAUGGCCAACAGUAUAGUGGUAAUAGAAUGCUAUUCCUCAGUGCUAUGAAAUGAAGAUGGUGGAUAAUAGCGCAGCAAUAUUACUAAAUCAGAGAAAUGAUGUCUUGAAUUCAUUAAAGUGCAAUCUAGCCAAUGAUAAGUCAUCCUUCCAUGUGGCAAAAGAGAGAAUCUGGGUGCACAAAAUAUGGGCAUAUUUGUUAAGUCAAAAAUAUAAGGCCUACAGGAUAACAUUCUACAUAAUGUGGCCAAUUUAUGCUAUAAUCAUUAGGGAUGACUUAAUUUUACUAUUACAAUAUUCUAAUCUUAAAAAGGAGUUGAACUCAAUGUACUAUCCAUUUUGAAGAGCUUUAAAAAGCAUUUCAGUGUGAUAAGAAUUACCGGCUCUUGUUAUUUUGUAAAAUUUUCUUCAUUUGAAAACUCCAAAAAACAAUUCAUGGUUUUAUUUAUAUGGAUUUUGCAAACAUAAAUAUGUAGGGAAUUAAAGUGAUAUGGAGGAAAGGUAAGAUUGUGGGUUUUUUUGGUAGAUCACUUUUAUUACAAUAAAACAAGUGACUAUUUUGCUUGGAUCUAACAUUAUUAUCUGUUGGGAAUACAUUUCAACCCUAAUUGAGAUUAAAGGCCUGCAACAGUAAAUCAGAUUUUGCUAAUCAGCUCUUCUUAUACUACAAACAAUUCCUCAAAAAAAUGGCAAGCAGUUUAUUUCUUCAUGAAUUUUUUUUAUACUUUGAUUACAAAAGGAUAAAGCUUGUUUUGACUAACCAAGUCUUUUAGCAUAUUAAUUUACACUUAAUGAAUUUUUUGUGGUGAAACAAUUGGCCCUUAAUAUACAUGGGCCUGUGGUUUUAUCUUCAGAUUACUUGACAGAAACCGGCUCAACGAGGUGUGAGGACAAUGUUGGCCAGCCUUGCCUAUUCAACUGGGGUGGGUGACAGAAGGCUCUGUUUCUGGGUGAUGGUUAAAGGUAUUUCAUUUCAUUCUCAAGUGUCCUUGUUUGAAUGCCAAGUUAUAUAAUCAUUCUACAUUUAGCCAGCUGCUGCUUAUGAUAAGACUGCCUAGGAAUUUAAAGUUCCUUUAUUUAAAAAAGACAGGCAUAUCAAACCUGAGAUAAGGAAUGCCUUGUGGCGCUAUCUAUUUCAGGUGAAACUUUCUAUGUGUUUAGCCUUUGGGCAGCUAUGCCUUUGCAUAGCAGCAAGCUGAUAUUAUAAAUACUUCCUAAAGUACAAGUUUAUCUAACAUGAUUUUCUGAAGAUUCAAAUGUAUGCUUGUUUUAAGUUAAUGCUUUUCAUAUUAAGUCAUUUAGAAAUAGCCAGACAUAUUUAAACUCCAAAUACUAGUUUAGCAGAAUUUUUAUUGACUCACAUUUUUAAGAGAAAGAUAAAAAUAAUCUUAAAAUUAGCUCACAUUACAGAUUUAAUUGUGAUGAGUAUCCUUUCAGCUCAGCCUUCCAGACUUUUUAUUUCUAUGGUUUAUUGUUGCAUAAUGAGAAGUAAUGUUUACAAUGAGUGCUCUGAGACUCUGCAAAAUUAUGAAUAAUUGAAAAAAGUCAUAUUUUUCUUACCCAUUAAUCAUAAGGUAUUAGAAGUAUUUUCAAAACAGAAGUUUGAAAGGAAUAUUUUAACAGUUGCCAGGAAUUCAAUAAACCCAAUUAUACAGUUUCCUGAGCAUUGUGUUUAAUCUAGAUUUGUCUGUAAAAUGUGCCAUAGAUAGAAUGUAGACUUUUUUUCUUAUACUAUAGAAGCUAAAGUCAUUAUAUUUUUCUCAUACUAUAAGAACUAAGGUUGUCUGUUUACAUUAACUUUGAUACAUGUGAUCAAUGUCCAAAUACUUAUUCAACAAAUGUUUAUUAAGUUAGUACUAUGUCCCAGGCAUGAUUCUAGGUGCUUGGCAUAUGAGUGAGUUAAACAGAGAAAACCUACUGCCCUCAUUGGGCUUACAUUUUAGCAGAGAGAGAAAGAAAAUACAUUAGAAACACAAUAAAUAAACAUAUGCUAUAGUAUUUCAGAUGGUAAGGAAUUCUACAUAAAAGAAAAAAUGAAAAUAGAGUAAAGCCAGUCAGAUGUGCCUAAUGAAAAUUAGCUGAAAUCAGCCCAGUAGUACCAUAGGUAGUUUUUUUUAGAUAAACACAGAAAUGGACCCUUUUGGUCUUAAAGGUUGAAACUUACAUUUGUUUUAUCUGAGUUCCCUCCUCAGGAAAUGACCUUCAGGCCUCUCCAAAAAAAAAAAAAAAAAAAAAAAAAAAUCAAAGAA